UAUUUUUCUGAAAAGUAAAUUUUGGCGGAUUGAUGAAAAAAUGGCGGCUUUUUUUUUCAUCAAUCUCUAGCAGCGCGCCAAAAAGCUUAAGGUACCAUUUAUUCCUCCCAAAUUCGCACACAUCGAUCCACCAACCAAAAUCCCCACGAAACCCUAAUCAUCUAAGCCCAAAUUCCGCGAGUUUCACCUUCAGAUCGAGGAAAAUAACCCAGGUACAUAUCUAUGUUCUUGGUUCAUCUCGGUUCUUCUCUGAAUAUAUGUGUAUAUAUAUAUAUAUAUACAUAUAUACAUAUAUUUGGUUCAACACUUCGCACACAUCGAUCCAUCAACCAAAAUCCCCACGAAACCCUAAUCAUCUAAGCCCAAAUUUCGCGAGUUUCACCUUCAUAUCGAGGAAAAUAACCCAAGUACGUAUCUAUGUUCUUGGUUCAUCUCGGUUCUUCUCUGAAUAUAUAUAUAGAUAUAUAUUCAGAGAAGAACCGAGAUGGUGGAUUAGUCUAAGCCUCUCUAACACAGAUAUCAGCAAUGUCAACAAUUGGGCAUAUAUCUUCCCACACACCAUUGAUGAAGGCAGGAUAAUCUGGGAAAAGGUUCCAGGUUUCUGUUAUGACUAUUUAAGAGUAAUCUAGAUCCCUUGAAGUGAUUCAGGAAUCAGAACAUAGAGGGCUUUGGUUAAGAAGCACGUAGAAGACAACAAUACCUGGGUGGUUGUCAGGCAAAUCCUUUCUUUCACAUUAAAUGAGAAGGGUGCUUUUGUGAGGGAAAUACUUCUUGAAGAAUUGGCUAAGAUCAAUUUUUACAUCCUUUUCAUCAUGUCUAACCAUGCCGAGAGUUCUAGAAAAGUUACAAAAAGAUUAGAACGGGGGCGUCAAGCAAUUUUGGCUGGUAUGGUGCGUCAACCCUCAGUUAUACGCAUUUCUGAUGGGGGUUCAAACUCCCCUCGUACAUCCACAAGUGACCAAAAUGUAGUAGUUGGGCCGAACGUGGGAUAAGCUUGUAUUUUUGAGUUUUUGCUUAAAUGAUGCUUGAGGUUCAAGAUUAUCAUCUUCUUUUGGGAUACCUGGGUGUGCUUCUUUUGGGAUACACUAUUUGGUUUACAUGCACGGCCUGGGAUAAGUUUGCAUUUCUGAGUUUUUGCUUAAAUGAUGCUUUAGGUUCAAGAUUAUCAUCUUCUUUUGGGAUACCUGGGUGUGCUUCUUAGGGUAUUAGAAUAUGAUGAUGGGCACUACUAUGAAGAUAUCAAGACAAGAAAAACACAAGACCAAUUGGGUUGCCUAGAAGAGUGAGCAAUUGCCUUAAUAUUUUGAUUUUUUGUGGGUAUUGCUACUUGCCAGGUUACAUUUUUUGUGGGUAUACAUAUAUGUCAACAAUGAUGGAAUUGUACAUUGAAAUCUUUAAUGAAUAUAAGACUUCUUGAAAUUUAUUUGUUUGUGAUUGGUGGGAUUUGCCUUUUUUUAUUUUUUGUAAGGCUUGACAUAUUUUUUUGCAUGCAUCAAAUAUAUAUGUUGAUGUUGUUGAUUUGCAUAAGGUUUGGUAUGAAAAUAUAUGGAUUUGGGUGGAGUUUUGGCUGUGUAAUAUUUGUGGAAUGAGAUGUUGGAUGAGUGAUGAUUAUUGCCAGGUUUCUAUGUUUUAUAAAAAACAGGCAUAAUAUUUGUUUUGGGUGGAAACAAAAUAUAUAUAUAUAUAUAUAUAUAUAUAUAUAUAUAUAUAUAUUACUUUUCACAAUGGACAAAGUUCCUAGCAGAACAGGUAAAAAUUGUUGUGAAAAGUUACAUUUCUAAGACGGGCUAUGUCCGUCGUAGAAAAUUCCACCUUCUACAACGGGUAUACUUACCGGUUGUAGAAAAAUUGACUUUCUACGACAGGCAAUAAUCAUUGUGGAAAAUGACAGCUUCUACAACGGGUUACUUUCUAGGAGGGGCAACGUCCAUCGUAGAAAAGAACACCUUCUACAACGGGUCACUUUCUACAACGGCCAUUGCCCAUUGUCGUAGUAUGAACUUCAACCGUUGUAGAAAGUUUCCUUUCUACAAUGUGCUAGAACCGUUGUAGAAGACCCUAAGUCAACAAUGACCGUUGUAGAAAGUUUCCUUUCUACAACGUGCUAGAACCGUCAUAGAAGACCCUAAGUCAACAACGACAGGGGAUACCACAAUGGGCCAUGCCUGUUGUAGAACUGUUUUUCGCCCCUUGUUACAAGUCAUUUUUCUUGUAGUCCACCAAAACAAACAUAUAUGAACCAAAGCAGCACCCCAACUAUACAAACAAAAACUGAAUUUUACUCGAGACUAAGACAACACACCAACACAAACAAAAAAAAUAAUAAUAAAAAAAAAAUAAAAAAAAAA